GUUUAUGCCUAAAGAUUAUAAAUGAUCUAAAGCAAAACAGAGAUGAAAUACAGAAAUAUUUCCUUGGACACCUUGGAAGGAGAAGAGAGAGCAUGGCAGCAGUAGAAGUAGAAAGAGGAGGAGAAAACAGGAGGAGAAGGAGGAGGAGGAGGAAAAAUGGAAGAAGAGGAACUUCCCUUUUGGUUGUUAUACAGAAUUUAUCAAACAAAAAAGCCUCAUUUCCAUGUAUGUAUAUGUACCUCUAUGUAUGCACAUACAUGCAUACAUACACACAUACAUGCAUACAUACACACAUAUGUGCAUACAUACACACAUACAUGCAUACAGACACACAUACAUGCAUACAGACACACACAUAAUACACACACAUACAGAGAUAUAUAUGUAUAAGAGCCUUCUUUGUAAUUUAUACUGUGACGUUUUGCCUAUAUUCAAUAGCAUGACCCUUGUUCCUUUUUAUUCCCUUACGUGUUUUCAUUGCAAAAUGUUACAUAGAUUAAUUUUAGUAAAGAUGGAAUCGUCUUUCCUUUUAAA